UGGGGAAUAUUGCACAAUGGGGGAAACCCUGAUGCAGCGACGCCGCGUGAACGAAGAAGGUAUUCGUAUCGUAAAGUUCUGUCCUAUGGGAAGAUAAUGACAGUACCAUAGAAGAAAGCUCCGGCUAAAUACGUGCCAGCAGCCGCGGUAAUACGUAGGGCGCAAGCGUUAUCCGGAAUUAUUGGGCGUAAAGAGCUUGUAGGCGGUUCGUCGCGUCUGGUGUGAAAGCCCAUCGCUUAACGGUGGGUUUGCGCCGGGUACGGGCGGGCUAGAGUGCAGUAGGGGAGACUGGAAUUCUCGGUGUAACGGUGGAAUGUGUAGAUAUCGGGAAGAACACCAAUGGCGAAGGCAGGUCUCUGGGCUGUUACUGACGCUGAGAAGCGAAAGCGUGGGGAGCGAACAGG
rnacentral:rRNA from 1 species